AGCGAACGCUGGCGGCGUGCCUAACACAUGCAAGUCGAACGUGAAAGGGAGCAAUCCCAAGUAAAGUGGCGUACGGGUGAGUAACACGUAGGUAAUCUACCCCAGAAUCUGGAAUAACCGGCCGAAAGGCUGGCUAAUACUGGAUAGAGCGACGGAAUCCGUAAUUGGGUUUUUCGGGAAAGGGAGCCUGUAAAAAGGCCUUCGUUCUGGGAUGAGCCUGCGUCCCAUCAGCUAGUUGGUGAGGUAAAAGCUUACCAAGGCAAUGACGGGUAGCUGGUCGGAGAGGAUGAGCAGCCACACUGGGACUGAAACACGGUCCAGACUCCUACGGGAGGCAGCAGUAGGGAAUCUUGCGCAAGGGACGAAAGUCUGACGCAGCAACGCCGCGGGAGUGAAGAAGGCCGUCGGGUUGGAAAACUCUGUCGAGUGGGACGAAAAUGCUUGGAGUUCACAGCUCCAGGAACUGACGGUACCACUAAAGGAAGCACCGGCUAACUCCGUG
rnacentral:rRNA from 1 species